rnacentral:lncRNA from 1 species
AAGAUAGUGAGAUAGUCCGCCAGGCUUUGUUCCCUUUCUGCGCUAGGGCGGCUGGUGCUGUGAGCGGCUGCUUAGAAACGAGCUGCCGGCGCUUUCGGAUUCGUGGCUGUCAGAUGCUGGACCGGCCGACAACGCUAGAGUGCAGGCUGACAUAAGGAUUACGGAUGUGCUGCAGACAGCCCGUCGGAAAAGGCAGAAGCCUCUGCCAAUAGAGGCGUUGUCUGUUACCUUCUCUGUUUAGGCUUCGGGAGAGAACCCGGAGCCGAAGCAGGUAGGCGGAAAGAGGACGCGUUUGAUGUUCAAAGGGCGCUGCCAGCUUGAAUCACAUUGCCAUGUGCCGGCUAUUUGUAUAAAAUGCAAAAGCAGCAGCCAAAGAAAAAGGUUCAAGGGGAUAGAUUUUGACAGGAAUAUGUCAUGGCUCCGGACUGAACCGUAAAAUUCUAGAGGACGGGGAAUAGAAUCCAUGGGUUUUUUUUCUCUGCAGAACCUAACAACAUUUAAUGACAUCACCUUGGCUAAGAAUCAGGAAUUCAGAACACUAAGUUACCCUGAACUAUCUAAAAAUGAAAAUGGAAAGAUAAUUCUGCUCCAUGUCUGGUGUACUCCAACUGCGGAUAAGGUGCCCUUUAGGGCCUUAAAUGACAGGAACAAAGUAUGGUGGUUUGUCACUAGAGCUCCAGGAAGCCACGAGGAAACAGAUCUUAGGAACCAAAUUGCUCAAAAUGGGAAAUAAAUGAAGAAAUGUGCAGCAGAUGCUCCCAGCCUGGACAUGUAACCUUCAAGAAGAAGGGCCCACCAGUCAUGCUAAUUGGUCUUGAACAAUGGCUGUUUGCACUGGGAGAUGAGAGAGAGCGCCCUGUUUCUUCCUGAUUCCCUUCUAUAGGCAUCUUUCCAGGAUUUGAAAUUGAUAAUUGUAGACACAAAGAUAUACUUGGCCUACUUUGCCAGCCUAUUUGGAAUCAUGGGUGUCACCCUGCGUGUCUGGUAUAUGUGCAGAUGGUUUCUGGCGGCUUCAAUAAAAUCAGAAAACACAAAAUCUGUAUUUGUUUUUCUUUCCAGACAAUUGAAAGGAGCUGGUUGUCAGUGCCCUUGGUGUUGAAAUGAAAAAUGUUAUGCUGCUUUUUUAGAAGUGUUCAUUAUGCUUACAGUCCCGUAAUACUGCUAAACUCAGUUAUCUGGGCUAAGUUCGGAAGUGAUGAAAUAGAGUCAAUCAAUACUGGUAUCAAGUUUGAAUUAGUGAAUGCUUUAGAGAAGUAGAUGUAAUUUCUGAUUUCCAUUCGUAAACAGAAUUUCCACUUUAAUCAGUUCAGUACUUAUUAACUCAGCAUUUUCUCAAUGGUACUCAUUUGAGUACCACAUUUAUGAUAUUUUUG